rnacentral:rRNA from 1 species
GUUGCGCCCGAAGCCGCCAGGCUAAGGGCACGUCUGCCUGGGUGUCACG